ACAGAUCUCAGAUCAGCACAGACAGCAGCUCCUCAUCAUUAUCAUCAUCACAUCAUGAUGAAGAUUCUGGCUCUCGCUCUGCUGGUGGCGGCUCUGCAGACUCUGUCGUAUGCACAGGUAACCCCAGCACCAACUGCUAAAGCCACAACAGCUUCUACAGCUACUAAUGUCACAACAGCUUCUACAACUACAGCUACUACACUGACCCGCAAAUCCACACCCAACUCCACCAUUGGACUGUCAGUCCGGAUGGCUCCAAUGCUGCUCUCGGUCUCCAUGUCUCUGUGGUGACCCUGUCCCUUAAUGUAGGGUUAACUGCUGGAAUUAUUAUUAGACAUCAAUGCUGUAAAAUAUAAGAAAUAAAAUAUAUGUUCACACAAA